rnacentral:rRNA from 1 species
UACGGAGGGGGCUAGCGUUGUUCGGAAUUACUGGGCGUAAAGCGCACGUAGGCGGCUUUGCAAGUCAGAGGUGAAAGCCCGGGGCUCAACCCCGGAAUUGCCCUUGAGACUGCAUCGCUAGAAUUGUGGAGAGGUAAGUGGAAUUCCGAGUGUAGAGGUGAAAUUUGUAGAUAUUCGGAAGAACACCAGUGGCGAAGGCGACUUACUGGACACAUAUUGACGCUGAGGCGCGAAAGCGUGGGGAGCAAACAGG